AAGCUAAGAGAUUCUCAAAGAAGAGCUUCUAACUCUACUUUAAGCGCCCCCCCGUUUUUGGCUUU
rnacentral:tRNA from 1 species